rnacentral:rRNA from 1 species
UGGUGGAGUGAUUUGUCUGGUUAAUUCCGUUAACGAACGAGACCUCAGCCCCAUGCUACUGUUGGUGGCCCCGGCCGCUCAACAGUUCCUUGGGGGACUUUGUGCGUCUAGCACAAGGAAGUUGGAGGCAAUAACA